AUACGUAGGUGGCAAGCGUUAUCCGGAAUUAUUGGGCGUAAAGAGUGAGCAGGCGGUUAAUUAAGUCUGAGGUUAAAGCGUGGGGCUCAACCCCAUAAAGCCUUGGAAACUGAUUGACUAGAGUACGGGAGAAGUGAAGGGAACUCCAUGUGUAGCGGUGAAAUGCGUAGAUAAAUGGAAGAACACCAGUGGCGAAGGCGCUUCCCUAGCCCGAAACGGCCGCUAAUUCCGAAAAGCGUGGGAAGCAAUAAGGAUUAGAUACCCUGGUAGCCCAGGCUUUAAACGAUGCAAAUUAAUUAUGGCCGCAAGGAAUGUUGAAAGCUAACGCAUUAAGUGGCCCGCUUGGGAGUACGGUCGCAAGACUGAAACUUAAAGGAAUUGACGGGG
rnacentral:rRNA from 1 species